CCUCCCUCCCCAUCCCCUCGCCCCCUCCGCCGGCGCCGGCGCGAUGGCAGGCGACGCGCCGCCGAUGAAGAGGCCCAAGCUGGAGUAGGAUGACGCUGGUCCCGCCACCCCUCCGUGGCCAAUGGCUCCGCGCCCAGGCCCCCCGCUGCCUCCCCCAGCGAUGCGCCGCCGCCGGGCGGGGAGGAGGACGACGAGGAGCUCCCGGAGGAGGCUGUGCUCGCGCUCAUCGCCCACCACGAGCGCGAGGUCGAGCGCUACAAGCUCAAGCUGGAAGCCACUGAGAAGAAGCUGGCCGACACGCGGUCGAGGCUCGCCCGGCACCGAGGCCGCGCCCCCGAUCGGAGCCACCCGCCUCCGCCGCCGCCGCCCGUCCAGAAGGCCGUCGCGCCGGAUCGCAGGUCGCCGCCUCCGAGCCAGAGGGACCCCCCCAAGCCGUCCGCGCCCAGCCAGAAGCCCCCCGCGCCGCAGGCGAGGCCGCAGCUCGUCAUCCCCGCACGGCCGCUCCUCCUGCCAUCCUCGCCCACGAGCUCGCUAUGCUGCACAUGCGCCAAACAACCUCGUCUCUGGUUUCGACUCCCUGUAACACUUGACAAUUUCAAAGUUCACACUCCAUUAAGUGAGGGAGAGUCUAGUUUUGCUGCUGGAUCAUCUCAUCUCGUUCGUUCAGCAAAAGGCUCAAGAUAAGUUCAAACCCCAGACUAGUUCAUACUUAUGGUUUUGCUCUUUGGUUUAAUACUUCAGUCCAGACUCCUUUGGUUUUUGUUCUAGAGAAGUUCAAAGUUCAGACUCAUUCUGUUUCUGUUUAGGCAGGGGGAGGGAGCAGCGAGGUGAGUGGCAAAAAAAAUGCAAACCAUAGUGACAACAAGUGCCUGUUAUGAUAGAUAUCAACAAGGUAUAAUAGGAUUGA